CCUUUAAACAGUAUGGAAUGUUUUGCAAAAUCUAGUUUUGAACAGUUGACUGAAGUAAGUGGCUACAUGUACACUAGUGAGUCUAAACUUUUGAUGGGUAGUAUACAACACAUGGUGCUGCAUUGAGUACAGCUGUCUGUGAGCUCUUCUCUUGUAUCCAUGCCAUGCCUUUUAGAGUCGUUGAUUUUUAUGCAUAUUUUAUUUUUUGUCACGGGUGUAUAUUUUAUGGAAUCCAACUUAAAACACGGAAGUGUUCAUGUGUUUCCCUCCAUGUAACAAUAUCCGUCUGACACAGUUAUACAUUUUCCUGAUACAUUGCUUCAUAUUUGUUUGGUACUGUUAUAUGUUUGUAUGACCCAGAUAUAUCUGUGUCUGACAUGGAUAUAUAUGUGUCUGACCCUGAUAUAUGUGUUGGACCCGAUAUAUAUGUCUAAUCCUGAUAUAUAUGUGUCUGACAUGGAUAUAUAUGUGUCUGACCCUGAUGUGUGUGUCUGACCCUGACGUAUGUGUCUGACUCUGAUAUAUGUGUCAGAUCCUGAUAUAUAUGUGUCUAACCCUGAUAUAUGUGUCUGACAUGGAUAUAUGUAUCUGACCCUGAUAUAUGUGUCUGACACGGAUAUAUAUGUGUCUCACCCUGAUAUAUAUUUUCCUGACACAUAUAUGUGUCUGACCCUGAUAUAUUUGUCUGACCCAGAUAUAUAUGUGUCUGACCCUGAUAUAUAUAUGUCUGACCCUGAUAUAUAUGUGUAUGACCUGAUAUAUAUGUGUAUGACCUGAUAUGUGUCUGACCCUGUUAUAUAUGUCUGACCCUGAUAUGUAUGUAUCUGACUGAUAUAUAUGUGUCUGACAGAUAUAUAUGUGUCUGACCCUGAUAUAUAUUGUCUGACCCUGAUAUGUAUGUGUCUAACCCUGAUGUAUAUUUGUUUGACCCAGAUAUAUAUGUGUCUGACCCUGAUAUAUAUUUGUCUGACCCUGAUAUAUGUGUCUGACCCAGAUAUAUAUGUGUCUGACCCUGAUAUAUAUGUCUGACAGAUAUAUGUGUCUGACCCAGAUAUAUAUGUGUCUGACCCUGAUAUAUAUGUGUCUGACCCUGAUAUAUAUGUGUCUGACAGAUAUGUAUAUGUGUCUGACCCUUACAUACAGAUACUACAGAUACAUACGUGAUGCAUAUGACUUGUUUGUAUUUACUUGUAGGUAUGAUUCAUUCAUAUUGGUUCGUGCAUGUGCUGUGUCCAUAUUGACACAGCAUACAUUCACCUGAAAACAUAAACCUGAAAAAUAUGACUUCUGGCUCAUUGCAUAUACACAUACUAAAGUAGGGAUAUUUUGAUGAGAUCUUUACGCAAUUGUAGUACACCAUAUCAGGGUGUAAGUCAGGGUGUGAAAAUCUACUUCGAAAUGUGUCUAAGUACGUACAAUAAACUAGGUGUUAUACAUUGACUUGUGUGUUUCUCUGUUUACUCACCAGCUUCUAGAAUGCCGAUCAAACUGUUAUACCGACCUGGUUGUAAUCCUGAGACAUAUCAGAUUAACCCUUCAUGUUCUAUUGUAAGGUGUCAGAAGAGAUUGUCAGCUAUUUUCAUCAGUUUCACGAAACGUUCAAUCGUUAUUGGUGCUAAUGGUUCCGGGACUAACUUUUACACGGAAGCCCACAUGGGAGUACGUGACAGAAUACCUCAAGUGAUCGAGUCACAGUACAAAUAUGGCUGUCAGAUAAUCCAGUGAUUGUUUCUUGUAGAGCCCUGACCUGUUAACGUUAACGGUUAACUGUAUACAAGUAUAUAUUGUAUAAACCGUUUUGCUAAUAAACAUGCUAAAAGGA
rnacentral:lncRNA from 1 species